rnacentral:rRNA from 1 species
UACAGAGGGUGCGAACGUUGCUCGGAAUUACUGGGCGUAAAGCGCGUGUAGGCGGAUCCAUAAGUCGGGCGUGAAAUCCCCAGGCUCAACCUGGGAACUGCGCUCGAAACUGUAGGUCUAGAGUGUCGGAGAGGAUGGCGGAAUUCCUGGUGUAGAGGUGAAAUUCGUAGAUAUCAGGAGGAACACCGGUGGCGAAGGCGGCCAUCUGGACGACAACUGACGCUGAGACGCGAAAGCGUGGGGAGCAAACAGG